rnacentral:rRNA from 1 species
UACGGAGGGUGCAAGCGUUAUCCGGAAUCACUGGGUUUAAAGGGUGCGUAGGCGGUGGGAUAAGUCAGUCGUGAAAUACUUCGGCUCAACCGAUAGAACUGCGAUUGAUACUGUUUCACUUGAAUCAGGUUGAGGCGGGCGGAAUGUGGCAUGUAGCGGUGAAAUGCUUAGAUAUGCCAUAGAACACCGAUUGCGAAGGCAGCUCGCUGGGCCUUGAUUGACGCUGAGGCACGAAAGCGUGGGGAGCAAACAGG